GGGGCACGUGCGGCAUGCCUAUACAUGCAGUCGAACGAACUCUGGUAUUGAUUGGUGCUUGCAUCAUGAUUUACAUUUGAGUGAGUGGCGAACUGGUGAGUAACACGUGGGAAACCUGCCCAGAAGCGGGGGAUAACACCUGGAAACAGAUGCUAAUACCGCAUAACAACUUGGACCGCAUGGUCCGAGCUUGAAAGAUGGCUUCGGCUAUCACUUUUGGAUGGUCCCGCGGCGUAUUAGCUAGAUGGUGGGGUAACGGCUCACCAUGGCAAUGAUACGUAGCCGACCUGAGAGGGUAAUCGGCCACAUUGGGACUGAGACACGGCCCAAACUCCUACGGGAGGCAGCAGUAGGGAAUCUUCCACAAUGGACGAAAGUCUGAUGGAGCAACGCCGCGUGAGUGAAGAAGGGUUUCGGCUCGUAAAACUCUGUUGUUAAAGAAGAACAUAUCUGAGAGUAACUGUUCAGGUAUUGACGGUAUUUAACCAGAAAGCCACGGCUAACUACGUGCCAGCAGCCGCGGUAAUACGUAGGUGGCAAGCGUUGUCCGGAUUUAUUGGGCGUAAAGCGAGCGCAGGCGGUUUUUUAAGUCUGAUGUGAAAGCCUUCGGCUCAACCGAAGAAGUGCAUCGGAAACUGGGAAACUUGAGUGCAGAAGAGGACAGUGGAACUCCAUGUGUAGCGGUGAAAUGCGUAGAUAUAUGGAAGAACACCAGUGGCGAAGGCGGCUGUCUGGUCUGUAACUGACGCUGAGGCUCGAAAGUAUGGGUAGCAAACAGGAUUAGAUACCCUGGUAGUCCAUACCGUAAACGAUGAAUGCUAAGUGUUGGAGGGUUUCCGCCCUUCAGUGCUGCAGCUAACGCAUUAAGCAUUCCGCCUGGGGAGUACGGCCGCAAGGCUGAAACUCAAAGGAAUUGACGGGGGCCCGCACAAGCGGUGGAGCAUGUGGUUUAAUUCGAAGCUACGCGAAGAACCUUACCAGGUCUUGACAUACUAUGCAAAUCUAAGAGAUUAGACGUUCCCUUCGGGGACAUGGAUACAGGUGGUGCAUGGUUGUCGUCAGCUCGUGUCCUGAAAUGUUGGGUUAAGUCCCGCAACGAGCGCAACCCUUAUUAUCAUU
rnacentral:rRNA from 2 species